rnacentral:rRNA from 1 species
CUGCGGCAGCGAACGUAUCACUUAAAGCGAUUCAGCGGGUUACGAUUGACGGAGCGAAGCGACGUCAAAGCGUAUACAAAGUCGAGUCGGUUUAAGGAUACGUUCGUUGGGUAGGGGAGCGUUCUGUAAGCCUGUGAAGGUGUGUCGUGAGGCAUGCUGGAGGUAUCAGAAGUGCGAAUGCUGACAUAAGUAACGAUAAAGCGGGUGAAAAGCCCGCUCGCCGGAAGACCAAGGGUUCCUGUCCAACGUUAAUCGGGGCAGGGUGAGUCGACCCCUAAGGCGAGGCCGAAAGGCGUAGUCGAUGGGAAACGGGUUAAUAUUCCCGUACUUGGUGUUACUGCGAAGGGGGGACGGAGAAGGCUAUGUUGGCCGGGCGACGGUUGUCCCGGUUUAAGCGUGUAGGUGUGUGUUCCAGGUAAAUCCGGUUCACUUUAACACUGAGGCGUGACGACGAGGCACUACGGUGCUGAAGCAACAAAUGCCCUGCUUCCAGGAAAAGCCUCUAAGCAUCAGGUAACAUCAAAUCGUACCCCAAACCGACACAGGUGGUCAGGUAGAGAAUACCAAGGCGCUUGAGAGAACUCGGGUGAAGGAACUAGGCAAAAUGGUGCCGUAACUUCGGGAGAAGGCACGCUGACACGUAGGUGAAGUGAUUUACUCAUGGAGCUGAAGUCAGUCGAAGAUACCAGCUGGCUGCAACUGUUUAUUAAAAACACAGCACUGUGCAAACACGAAAGUGGACGUAUACGGUGUGACGCCUGCCCGGUGCCGGAAGGUUAAUUGAUGGGGUCAGCGCAAGCGAAGCUCCUGAUCGAAGCCCCGGUAAACGGCGGCCGUAACUAUAACGGUCCUAAGGUAGCGAAAUUCCUUGUCGGGUAAGUUCCGACCUGCACGAAUGGCGUAAUGAUGGCCAGGCUGUCUCCACCCGAGACUCAGUGAAAUUGAACUCGCUGUGAAGAUGCAGUGUACCCGCGGCAAGACGGAAAGACCCCGUGAACCUUUACUAUAGCUUGACACUGAACAUUGAGCCUUGAUGUGUAGGAUAGGUGGGAGGCUUUGAAGUGUGGACGCCAGUCUGCAUGGAGCCGACCUUGAAAUACCACCCUUUAAUGUUUGAUGUUCUAACGUGGACCCGUGAUCCGGGUUGCGGACAGUGUCUGGUGGGUAGUUUGACUGGGGCGGUCUCCUCCUAAAGAGUAACGGAGGAGCACGAAGGUUGGCUAAUCCUGGUCGGACAUCAGGAGGUUAGUGCAAUGGCAUAAGCCAGCUUGACUGCGAGCGUGACGGCGCGAGCAGGUGCGAAAGCAGGUCAUAGUGAUCCGGUGGUUCUGAAUGGAAGGGCCAUCGCUCAACGGAUAAAAGGUACUCCGGGGAUAACAGGCUGAUACCGCCCAAGAGUUCAUAUCGACGGCGGUGUUUGGCACCUCGAUGUCGGCUCAUCACAUCCUGGGGCUGAAGUAGGUCCCAAGGGUAUGGCUGUUCGCCAUUUAAAGUGGUACGCGAGCUGGGUUUAGAACGUCGUGAGACAGUUCGGUCCCUAUCUGCCGUGGGCGCUGGAGAACUGAGGGGGGCUGCUCCUAGUACGAGAGGACCGGAGUGGACGCAUCACUGGUGUUCGGGUUGUCAUGCCAAUGGCACUGCCCGGUAGCUAAAUGCGGAAGAGAUAAGUGCUGAAAGCAUCUAAGCACGAAACUUGCCCCGAG